CACCGCGGUUAUACGAGAGGCCCUAGUUGAUAACUACCGGCGUAAAGAGUGGUUACGGAAAAAUGUUUAAUAAAGCCGAACACCCCCUCAGCCGUCAUACGCACCUGGGGGCACGAAGACCUACUGCGAAAGCAGCUUUAAUUGUACCCGAAUCCACGACAGCUACGACA
rnacentral:rRNA from 1 species